rnacentral:rRNA from 1 species
UCGUUCCUACGGGAGGCAGCAGUGGGGAAUAUUGCACAAUGGGGGAAACCCUGAUGCAGCAACGCCGCGUGAGUGAAGAAGUAUUUCGGUAUGUAAAGCUCUAUCAGCAGGGAAGAAAAUGACAGUACCUGACUAAGAAGCCCCGGCUAACUACGUGCCAGCAGCCGCGGUAAUACGUAGGGGGCAAGCGUUAUCCGGAUUUACUGGGUGUAAAGGGAGCGUAGACGGCAGGGCAAGUCUGGAGUGAAAGGCCGGGGCCCAACCCCUGGACUGCUCUGGAAACUGUCCGGCUGGAGUGCAGGAGG